rnacentral:tRNA from 1 species
UAAAAGGUAAGCUAUAUUUAAGCUAUCAGGUUCAUACCCUGUUGAAAAGUUUAUCUUCCUUUUAA